rnacentral:rRNA from 1 species
UCUCACCGGGGGCGACAGCAAUAUGAAGGUCAGGCUGAAGACUCUACUUGACUAGCUGAGAGGAGGUGCAUGGCCGUCGUCAGUUCGUACUGUGAAGCAUCCUGUUAAGUCAGGCAACGAGCGAGACCCACGCCAACAGUUGCCAGCUCGUCCUCCGGGAUGGUGGGGACACUGUUGGGACCGCCUCUGCUAAAGAGGAGGAAGGAAUGGGCAACGGUAGGUCAGCAUGCCCCGAAUUAUCUGGGCUACACGCGGGCUACAAUGGGUGGGACAAUGGGUAUCGACACCGAAAGGUGAAGGCAAUCUCCUAAACCCAUCCGUAGUUCGGAUUGUGGGCUGCAACUCGCCCACAUGAAGCUGGAAUCUGUAGUAAUCGUGUCUCAAAAUGGCACGGUGAAUAUGUCCCUGCUCCUU